rnacentral:misc_RNA from 1 species
UCAAACUUGGUCAUUUAGAGGAAGUAAAAGUCGUAACAAGGUUUCCGUAGGUGAACCUGCGGAAGGAUCAUUAAUGAGAUUUAUUUUACAUGAAUAUUGGGGUCCCUUUUUUUUUUGGGGCCUCGUAUCCAUUUAAAAAAUAUAUCCGUUGAACUUUUUUGGGAAUUAUUUUGGUGGAGGUUUGUUCCUCCUUAAAAUUUCCAAUUUUAUUUUACUCUGUCUGAAUUUAUUUUACAAUAAAAAACUAUUAUUAAAAAGAUAAAACUUUCAACAACGGAUCUCUUGGUUCUCGCAUCGAUGAAGAACGCAGC